rnacentral:lncRNA from 1 species
AGAAGUACCGCGACUCGAAGAAGAUCGACAAGCACCUGUACCACGACCUGUACAUGAAGGUGCGCUUGCUGCCCUGUUGACACGGAACUUUGCAACCACGGGGCCUGGAAUUGGGCUUAGCUGCAGGUGCAAGCACUGUGUGAUAUUGGGCGGUCCUUGCCGGGCACUUUGAGCGAAACAUGGAGGGACCACAUGGAGCAUGCAGCAGCGCUCUGGAGCAACCGCGGAGCUGCUCGGACGGGGGACGCAGCCGGAGCGGAUGAGCACAGCCUGGCGCAGCAGCCGCAACGACUGGCGCACACCUUCAGAAUAACCUGGCGUGCCCGGGGGGCUGGCGGCGGCGGCUGGCUCCGGCUGUGGCGGCGGCGCGGGUGCAGUUGCAUGGUGACGGGCAGCCCGGCUGCUUGUAUGGGUUGCCGUGGCACAACUACAGCUUAGCAGCGCGGCAGCAGGAGCCGGGCGGCAUGUCCGCUGGCGCCCCGAUGCAAUGCCGUCCGCAGUCUGGCGCCCGCGGGGUGGGGGGCUAACGGCAGUUGGGGCAGCCGCCAGCAGCAGAGGCAGUAUGUGCGACCAGCGGAGCGCCCCACGGGAGCGCCCCAUGUAUCGGGUAUCGAGGGCGUCCCGGGGAUGGCGGCUGAGGCGGCCGCCGUCAGUCAGCUACAAAUGACAGCGCAGCCGCUGCACAGGGUCGAUGGGGCAGGGCUGCUCCGCGGGGCGGCUCGCGGACAGCCGGAAACCAUUUGCAGACCAGAAGGCGUGGCGUCGAUGCAUGGAUGCAUUGCGCACCACAGCGGUGCACGGGGCUGCUCCGUGUGUUGAGGGCCAGCCUAGCAGCUGCGCCGGUAUUGCCGCUGUUGUCGCAGCGACCAGGCCAAAAUAUCAGGAUUCGCCCACACCCCGAGCCGGCGCAGCAGGUUUUCCCAGACCAGCGAGAGAUCAGUGUUCAUGGCAACCGGCCGGCCGCAGUACGCCGGCUGGAUAGCAUAACAGACCAUGUGCACACGCGUCCGAGCGGGCUGUCCCAGGACUGACGGUGGAACCGCCCGUGCUGCUCUCUCCGCCACAUUGCACGCCCCCGCAGGUCAAGGGUAACGUGUUCAAGAACAAGCGCGUGCUGAUGGAGGCCGUGCACAAGCAGAAGGCGGAGAAGGUGCGCGAGAAGACCAUCGCCGACCAGUUCGAGGCGCGCCGCGCCAAGAACAAGGCGGCGCGCGAGCGCAAGGCCACCCGUCGCGAGGAGAGGCUGGCCGCGGUGAGUUGUUGGGAGGAAUGAGGGGUGGGCGGGAUGCAACAGCGGGACAAUGCGGAAGUGGAGGCAAGGCGCCGGCCGCGGAAUGGGAGCGCGAGGCUGUCUGACGCGCUGGCGGCGGGGGGGGGGAGAUCGUCAGCGGGAGGCCAUGGGUGGGUGGCGGAGGUGGAAUGCGAGGCAUGCGGGUUCGUCGGGUGCCUGAGGGAGUGCGGUCCAUGGUCAGGGCGGUCCUGGUGCACGCGGCAACACCUGGGCCUCGGUGAGCCUAUCCCCACGCUGCGAGCUGAUCCGCCCUCCCUCCUACCCCGCCACUCCGUGUGCCCUCCCGCAGGGCCUCCACCUCGAGGCCCCGGCGACCAAGCCCGCCCCCGCCCAGAAGAAGUAGACGGUCCAUCUAGCGGGCGGCACCCAUCUGCCGUCUGACGGUGGUGGUGUCAAUGAGAGAGUUGUCGACGGACCGCUGUAACUACCGGGGUGACCAACGACCCGAAUCGUACCGCCGCGCUGUGAUGGCGUGGCAGCGUCAACUGGGUGGGAGGGC